GGAAGAGGAAGUGGGGAAAAGUACUUAAAAAUACCUCUUAUUCUUUUAAAGAAACAUCUCCAUACUCUUUUUGUUUAUUCUUAUGGUAAGUGGUUUUACAAAGUGCUGGGUAGGAUAAUUUCCCUGAAAAUUUCCCUGGAUUUUAAUGACCUGAAGAAUUAUUCCAAAUUUCUUCCAGAACACUAACUGGAAGAGCAUGUGGUCUAGCCUGGAGUUUCCCCACUGUUUUUCUGGAUGGGUCACACCUCUAGCCUCAGAAGGCCACCCUGGAGAAAAAAUGCUUUCCUCCUCCCUGCCUUCCCUACCUGCUAAGCUAAGUUUGAGGUACUUACUGUGCUUGGCGUCCACUCACUUCCCACCUCUGAUCUCCUGAUGUGUUUGCUGCUGCGUUCAUUUCCUUGGGGGCAGGCGCUGCACAGCUCUCCCACAGGUCUUGACACCUCCUCCCAGUCCUGCCCACUCCUAACUCUUCCACUCUCCUUAGAAUUUGUCUUCUCUUUGUUUCAGAUGCUGUUUAAAUUUUGAAGAAUAAUUCUAUGUGAAUCCUGUAUGUUCCUUUUAGACAUAUUUGCCUUUUAUAAAAGCAUACUUCAGAUGCAUUUUUAUAAUGGAAAAGAAGGAAUGGUGGUUAUUUCUGGUUCCAUAAAGGUCUGAGCUUUUAAAAAGUACCUCAAAUCACUCCCUAUAGACCACAGUGACUGUACAACCUGUUUGCAUCCUCUCCCCAGCAGCAAUUCUCUGUCUUUCACCUCCAACAUUGUUGCAAUUACCUCCUUUCUUUAUUCUCUUGUUAGAAAUCUGUGAAAUGAGAUUGGCGGGGGAUGAGGGGCUAUGAAAAGUUGGAGAAGAGUGUAGUUAGUAGAAGCUGACUAAGGAAUAUUAACAUCUCUGUGACAUUCCCUUACUCUAGUGAUCACUCAAGGAUCAGUUUUCCUAUUUGUCACAUGGGCCUAGAUAAACAGAUGGGUACACCAUUUUGUUCUUUCAUGUUUCAGUAGUUUAGGAAAUUUCCACAAAGGGGAUUUUUUUUAAAGUAGGUAAGAAAUUAUGGGUUUAAGCUACUAAUUAAUUCAGAAAAUGUAGGCAUUCAACAAGAUCCAUUAACUCCACAAAUAUGUAUUGAGAACUGGCUACGUGUCAUUCACAGUUGGUAGGUACAUAAUUAGGUAGCUGUCACAUAGGAUUAAAUCUACCUAGGAGUUGCUUCUCAGCCUCCCACUUUUGGAAGUUACUUCUCAUUGCUAGAAGCUUGGUGGCAUUCUUAAAUUAUUCAUUGUUAGCUUCUUAUCAUUUGGUUGUCCUUCAGGAAUAUAUUGCAUUUAUAUAGAAUUGUAUACUUCUUCAAACGUGCUGUAUUUUGAAUUCAGGGGAGAAAAUUUUCCCCAGAUUUCAGUAAAUCUGUGCACUUUGGUGUGGUGUUAAUACCGCACAUCUUUGCUUUCACUUACACAUUCUCUACUUGCUCAGCAAGACUCUGGGUAAUGGUUUUGCUCUACAUAUCCUGUAUUAAAAUGAAAAUAAAUUUAGUGCAUCAAUCAAAAUUUGGCCACCUACCUGUGACCUGCUGUGAUAACUAAUGGGCUUUAGGUAAUUGACUUUCCGUGUACUGACAGUUGUGACUUAGUGCUGAGAUUUUCCAGAUGACUCUGAUCUACUUCAUGGAUGGCAAGUUGGAUCCCUCUACCUUCCGAGGUCAGGAGUGCAAGCCCAGCCUGGCCAAUGCGGUGAAAUCCCAUCUCUACUAAAAAUUCAAAAAUUAGCCAGGCAUGCUGGCAGCCACCUGUAAUCCCAGCUACUCGGGAGGCUGAGGCAAGAGAAUCACUUGUACAGGGGAGGCGGAAGUUGCGGUGAGCUGAGAUCGUGCCACUGCACUCCAUCCUGAGUGACAGAGCAAGACUCUGUCUCAAAAAACAAAACAAACAAACAAAAAAGAAGUAGAAUAAACAAUUGUUAUUUUUAUUUUUUAAAUCCCAGAGAUUGAAAAGGAAAGCAGUCAGACUCCUGAGUUGAUUUUUGAAACUGGAAUGAGAGAAGAAGUGGUUGUGGGUCUGGAAGAGCUGGGCACCUGCACCAGACUGGGUGUGGAGCCUGGUAGGUAGUUGGGACUUCAGAGGGGCCUGGCUGAGCAUGAGCCUGGCAGGUCUCAGCAGCCUGGGUGGAGUAUGCUGCCAAGGGAGUAGUGCUGCUGGCAGUUUUUCCCUCUUUCCAGAGACCAUGCCCACCGGUGACACUCUUUGCAUGCUUUGAGUUGAAAGUUAGGUGACUCUUCUCUUUAAUUUAUUUAAGUCUCCUAGGGUUCUCAGGAGAUGAUGCAGAGGAAGGAGACGUGGAGGACCAAGCCAGUAUGAGAUUCUUGAGUUGGUUUCAGUUAUAUUUGAUGAUAUAAGAGGAUCAUUUUUGCAUCCUGAGGGUGGUGAGAAUUUCCAUUUUAUAGAUUAGGAUUAAGGCACUAUGAGAUUAUGAUUUGCUGUGUCGUGUCUAGUCACAAUGCUGAGAUUUCAAUAGCUGGAACCAAAUAGCUUAGGCAGUCUCAUUUCUUAUUUCUCAUUUCUUAUUCCAUUAUUUUCCAUUAAAAAAUUAUUUUCCCCAUUUUUUAUUCUUAGCUCGUUAUUGUGUUAGGAGUCUUUCUUGUUGCAUGUGACAGAAACCCGACCUGAACAAGCUUGAGCAAGAAAAUUUGCUACAAGGAAUGUGCUGUAUGGAUUUGCUACAAGGAAUGUGCUGUCACAUACCCUGAGGACAGGAAUAUGGCUAAGCCUUAAGAAUAUCAUCCCAAUAAGCUGUGGCCAGGCUGAACUUGUGCUAUACAACAGCAGGCCCCAACCUUUUCGGCACCAGGGGCCAGUUUUGUGGAAGAUGAUGAAACCAAUGUGCAGAGAGGUUAUGCAGUUUGCCCAAGGACACACAGCUGGAAACAACAUUCUGGAUUAAUUUUAAGUGAAAAUACCCUGGAGGCACACUGAAUUUUCAGACGUGGACAGCUGAUCAUCUGAGGAAGCUGCCGCAUUUCCAGUUCUCUUUUGGUUGAGAGAAAGGCCAUUCUUCAUGCUCUUCUGUUCUUUUGAUUUCCUAUUGGCAUCUCCGUUUCCCUCCAUACCUUUCAACAUUCAAGCCAGAUGCCAAUUGUCUGUGUGAAAACACACUGCAUCUCAAAUAUACCAAGAUGCCUUAAUAUUUGACCAUAUGUGAAUAUUCCAGUAAACUCCUGGGACUUAUGUUCCAGUGUCAGUGCUGAACAACAGGAAGACUGUAAAUACCAUCAGCUAACCAGAAGACUCACAUAUGCCUCAUGUUUAUAAAUGCCGAUAGAUGUAGUGCGUUCUAAAUUUGAAUUUUUGGUGCAAGAGAGGGGAUGGGUGCUCUCUCCAUGGAGGCAGUGCAGCUUGCAAACAUACAAAUGAAUGGGACCUCCUCAGGUUGCUGCUGAUCAUGGCAAUCAGUUAUUGUGGAGAGACUUGCAAACAAGGAACAUCUCUUGAGAUGAACUCUGAAAGAAAAGAAGAAAAGAAUGUGUCCAUGGUAGCCAACCCUAUAUUAAAUAAAGUUUGAACUAACUAUAUUAACUGGGCCAGAAAAAUUCGCCUGAAGCUGGACAGGGUGGGAUUAAAUUCCAAGACCUUAAGCAAAACACUUCAAAGGACAUAGGAUGAAUUUUGAGCAAUAUCUUUAUCUUUGCCACCCACCGCAGUCCCCAGCCUCCUGCGAUGCUGGCCUCGUCGUUGAAAAAACACAAAAGCAAACCACUUCAGGAGGAUUUACUAGAUGCCAAGCUUUGUUUUGGACCUGGUGAGAGUUAAGAAGAUGAAAUAAACAAGCCCUUUGUUCUCAAGUUGCCCAGUGAUUUAGUAUGAGAAUCUUUAUUGUCGUAAAAGUGCCUAACAAUGCUAGGCAGGAAGGCAGGAAGCAGGAACUGAGGGCAAUGUGUCCUUGGAAUGGCCCAGAGAAGAGGCUGAGACUCUUACCUUGACUCUGAGCUGACUUAAAGGGUCUGGUAUAAUGGCAGUUCUUUUACUGAACUGCACUCUCUUCUAGUAAGUAUAAAAAAGUUCUACUGGCAAUAAUAAUAGCAAACAUGUAUCAGGUUCUUACUGUGCUAAGCACUUUAAUUCUGUUAUUGGACUUUCAAAACAACUUACUGAGGAUGAUACCAUUACUUUUCCUGUAUUACAGCAGAGGGAACUGAGGUUUAGAGAGAGAAAAUAAUUUGCCAAAGUCAUAUAAUUGUUGUCUUAUAUAAUUGUUCAUCCCAUAGAGAAUGGCAUUUUCAUUUCUACAGAGAUCAGAGUGUGUUGUUUUCUAUUUCCUGUCUCAAAUGUGUUACUCCUCAUCUCUGCCAAAGCAGGCUCUAUUUAUCCUGCAAGAACUGUGGAACCUCCUCGACUUCCAUCGUAAACUCUUCCUGGGACCCAGUGACUUCUCUUCCCACAGCAUACUUGGAGAAUUUAUGCCUGCCUCAUGUAUUUGGCAAUUGAUCAUAAAUGGUCCUACGCUAAUUCUCAUUUGUCAUAUGAUAUUGUUUAAUUUUGUUUAAUCUUUCCAUCCAGAUUGUAAACUCCUUCUUGUUUCUGGCUGUGUCUAAAGGAUUAAAAGUGAGUCUUUUAUACUAUUCACCACAAUGCACAAUUGAGUUGUCUUUGUAUUUAUUUGAGUUAAAGUUGUAUAGGUUAUAUAUUGCUGCUUAACAAAUUUCCACAGACAUAGUGGCUUAAAACAACACACAUAUAUUUCUGUAAUUACAAUUCUGUAGGUCAGGUGUUGGGCAUGUCUUAACUGGUCCUCUUCAAAGUUGCAAUCAACGUGUUAGUUGAGGCUCAGUUCUCAUCUGGAGGCUCAAGUGGAG
rnacentral:lncRNA from 1 species